AUUCAGCAGACGACAUUUUAGCAGACGACAAAUUUCCCAGCAUGCAAAGGGUUAAAAUAGUAACAUACUCUAUGAGUAGCAUUAUGCCUUUCAAAUGUACAAAUUCAUUAUUGGACAAUAUUUUUGCAGUUUGUCCCGGUGAAGAUAUUGUUUUAUGAGAAGAAGGAAUUAUUCAAACUUAAAAAAUGUUUAUUUUUUUAGAAAUAGUUGGUUUUUGUAGUGUCAAUAGCAUAUAAUGUCAAAUUAGUAUGGUUCUUUUUUUUUGGGGGGGGUAGAGAAAAUGUUUGAGAAUAACCAACAGCAAAGCAAUGUUAGGUUAAGCUUCAACAGUUACAAGCAUUCAUAUAUAAUUAUUCCAUUAAAUCUCUUUAUUUAUUGUGCCGUCAGUAGGGUGGCAUAUAGCAUUUGAACUGUCUGUCCGUCCAUCCGUCGGAAAACUUUAACAUUGGCCAUAGCUUUUGCAAUAUUGAAGAUAGCAACUUGAUAUUUGGCAUGCAUGUGUAUCUCAUGGAGUUGCACAUUUUGAGUGGUGAAAGAUCAAGGUCAAGGUCAUCCUUCAAGGUCAAAAGUUAAAAAAUACAAUCCAAGGGAAGUAAUAAGCUUUAAAAGGAUAAUUUCUAAACCUGUCAAAUGAUGUAUUGAAAUUUCAUUUCAAAGCGACGCAAUAGGAGGCAUUGUGUUUCUGACAAACACAUCUCUUGUUUAAGAGAGUUUGAUACAUGAAUCGUAGCUAUAACAGUUUCAAGCAUAAGAAGUUGUAAAGCAAAAUGUUAUAUUCCUCUCAAACAGUGUCAUAGUUAGACAUUGCCUGCUUAGGUCAUGUUAAUGACGUUAAAACACAUACAGAAACUAUUUAAUCAAGAAGCAAUUUAUUAUUUUAAGACUAUCCUUAGCUUUGUACUGGGACUUCCUGUUUAGGCCUAGCUGGAAGAUUGCUGACAUGUUUUUUUACACCAAUGGUGAGAAUGCUUGCUAUUGUAACUAAAGUGGCUGGUUUUUAUUAUUGCAACAAAGUCUCAAUCUUACUGAUGUUUAUUUUUUACCAAUACAUUUGUCACUUAUGCCAGUUUUUUAAGAAAAUUUACCAGUUAGAAUGUAGAGCAGUGGCUUCAAUUGCAAAUUUAUUGCAAAAUAUUCAGGGAAAACUUUUUUGUUAGUAUGUCUGUGUUAUGAUUGGAACUCUUUUCUCUUGUGCUUUCUUUGAAUGUGCUUGUAUGCAUUCUUCAAUUUUGUGUAAAUUUCAAAAAAGAAUAUCUUCAUUAGAGAAGAACUCACUUAUUAUUUUUCACCUCGAUAUUUUUCAUGUUGUACAUACGUAGCUAAGCAUUAGAGGAACCUUUUCAUUUAGCCGGAAAGUAGAGUACAUGUAUAUCAUUACUUACUGAUUUUAAUAAAGAAAAUGUGAUUCGACAUCACUUACAUGGAUUAACAGAAUUGUACUGGUUUACAUUUUGAAUAUGAUUUUGUUACUUUGGGUUGCUUGGGUCUCUUUGGGUUCUUUUUUGUUAUUUUCUGAAGAGUUUCACACACUGUGAUUCAAUCUCCACGCAGAGUUGUUGUUCCAUGCUCUCACAUACAACCUCUGCCAUCACAAGAAAACCCCUCUAGAUCUUGAACGAUUUUUUGUUUGUUCAAGUAUUAUACGAUGAAAAGUAGUAUCUAAUGUCUUUUAUAUUUAGAAAAUAGUGUAUAAGUUUAGGUUCAUGAUAAAAAAUUAAUAACCUAAAUUAAAAGAGGUUAACAACUGGAAAAUUAUUGUACUCAGUGGCUUGGCUAUCAUCACGUGGUUGGUUAGAAUAGCAGGGAUUUGAUCCAGUCAUGCUGGUUCCAGUCAAAUCUCUGCGUGGAGUUUAACUGUGAUUCUUAUGUUUUACAUAUUUGUGCGAAUACCCAGUACAAACUUCUUCACUUUAUCAAAUAAGUUCUAUAUUUUAAUUAUGAUACAUUGGUAAUUAAAAUAGAUUAUUAAGUUCUUAAAAACUUAUGUCUCGAAAUAGGAGUUUUGUGUCCUUCAUCUUUUUUCGUGUUUGCUUUUGUUUGCUCUAGCUUUAGCACUUCAACAUGAAAUGCCAUUAUUAAAAAACCGGUGCAACAUUUCCGAGUGCACAUUGUAAAUAUUGUUAUGGGUGUCACUAAAACUAUUUUAUCAAGUUGUUUUAUUUUAUUUUAUAUAUUAUAUGAUAUUUAUGAUAUUAUUAUUUGUUUUGUGUGCUUUUCUAUUCAAAAGAAAUUUUUCAUAUUUUGAAACGGUGUUAAAGGGAUCUUUUCAUGGUUUGGUAAAUUGACAAAAUUGAACAAAGUUAGUUCAGAUUCGCAAAUUUUCGGUUUAGUUAUGAUAGUUGUGAGGAAACAGUAUAACUGAACAUUUGCCAUGGUCUAAUAUAGCCAUUAUAUGCAUCUUUUGACGAUUUAAAAACCUAAAAAUUAUAAAGCGUUGAAACGUGAAACGAUUGAAUAAUUGGGAGAGUUCUGUUGUUGUCGUUUAAAUUUGUGAAACUACGAAGAUUGCUUAUGCUUGGCAUGGUAGCUCAGUUGGCUAAUGCGUUUUUACUUCAGGAUUCAGGGGGUAACUGGUUCGCGCCCUGCUGCAGUCUACUUUUUUUUUCCUUUUUUAAAUUUUAUUUUUGAUUUUUUACUGGAGCUUUUUAAAAUUUAAUGUUUACAUAAAUCAAUAUAAAGCAUUUAAUGACAAACUUCAAAUUAAAUAUGCCAAAAUCUGUGAAAAGGCCCCUUUAAGUUUUACUACAAUAGGAAUUAUUGUUACUUUCGCGUGGGAAGAAGAGAUUAUAAUCAUUGAUCUUUCAAACGUAAUAUACUUAUUAAAAAUUAGUAAAUUCAUGUCUUGUAAGUCGGUAGUAUAUUAAAUACUGUUAAUAUUUUUUCAGUAAUUUUUAUGUUGCUGCUAUGUUUAUUACAGAAAUUAAAAUUAAAUUCCAAUGAAACAUCUGACAAAAAAGCAACAGUAACUAAGUGUUUAAGCCAAAGAUGUUGUGGUUCCUGUUCUUUCUUUCUAUAAGCAAAGCGACUUCAUAUAGGGCAAGUCUUUUCUCUUUCAUUUUUAUUAAUAUAUGCCUUUUACCUUUGUAUAUAGUUUUAGUAAGUUUUAUUUUUAUUUAAUAAAUAAGUCACUCAGUACUUUGUCAUAUAUAUAUAUGCCUAGAUUUUGUGGUAGAUUUGAUAAAAUAAAAUAACAUUAUAUCUUUUCUAAAGUUAAAAAUAAAUUGGUCUAUAAUUACAAGAAUUGAGAUCUGAAUGCUGCUUCUAUUGUGUUAUGAAUUAACAUCUUGUGUCCUGCAGUUCAGAACCUUAACACUUUAAACACAAAUAUAAAUUAUUGUACCUGUGCUAAAUUUAUUUCUGAAAUCUGCCUUUUUGCGCAUGUCAAUAAACAAUGGAAAAAUUGUUACUGGUACUAAUAUUUUACAGAUUAUUUAUUUCUUGGAAAUAUUUUUAAACAUUAAACUGUUCAUUAUGAUUCAUUUUCUUAUCCAAAUGUCUUGCCCUGUUAAUCAGAUAACGCAAGUUUGUUAAACUUGUUAAUACUUCAAUUUUUUUAUCUUCACUUCAACUUUUAUAAGCACUUUCCUGUGAAUAAUUUUUGUUUUAUUUAGCAUUGUGAUGAGUAAAAGAUUUGUGCAAUAGUUUGUGCUGAGAAAUAAAAGUAUUUUUUUAUUGCUGUCAGUCUUACGCAGAGCGUAUUUUCCAAAGUAUGAAAAAUCAACACAAAUUGCUUCCCCCCUUUUCUCAGGAAUAUUUUGUAUCAUUGUUAUUUGUGAUGUCAGUGUGCUUGUUUGUUGAUUUAGUAUAUUUUAACCUGUUAGUGAAAGCAUAUGUGAUCCUAGGUGAUUGAAGAAUGUUUUAUUUUUUGUAUAAAAUGUGUUUGUAUAGUGAAAGGAUUAAAUAUUUUAAUCGAAGGUCAAAUAUUUAUAUUCAAACUACACAACUUCAAUAAAAAUUACGUCAGGACCAUUUUUUAGUUUGACAAAUAUGUUUUACAAUUUGUGUAUUUUAUUGUCAUCAUCAACAAAGCAACUUAUUUUCAUCCAUAUUGCAUAUAAUUACUUAGGAAAAUUACUUAUGAAGAGUUAUGCAUAUACCUGUAUUUGUGUAAGUUAUUCGAUUAAACAAUGUGAAUUCUUUAAAAUAACAUUUACAUUUGUAGUAAAUGCAAUGGUAGGUAUUACUAGGUCAUACUAAAUAUGCAUCUCAAGGACAAGACAUGCGCAUUAUGCGUAUCUUCAAAAUAUGCAAAUGUGGAAUUAUAACUGGUAUUAAAUAUGUGCCACAAUUUUUCAUUUGAUUUUAUGUUAAGAUUAUGAUUUUCUUUUGACAUGACCUAUGUAGGAAUCAUUUGUCCAUAACUCAUUUAUAUAUUUACAUGUGUAACAUGCAGAUUUUGAUUGUUUUGUUUGAAAUCAAUAUAAAUGCUUGAUGUUUGCUUGAUUUGCUUGUCUGUUUUUGGAGUAUAGCCAACAUAUAUCAUACACAAUAAAGCAUUAUUCUUAGA